GUGAACCUGCGGAAGGAUCAUUGUCGCAAACCAGAGCCACCGGUGAACCAGUUCUGUCACUAAAGUUUGCGGGCUGUGCAUCUGAGGCCUCGAACCAGCCUGACUCAGCUGCCGUCCUCGCACGUCGAGGGCUUGGCUGAGUGGUGGUGUUGGGGCCUUCGGGUGCUUGGCCGAGCGAGCAUAGACACCUUUUGGGCGCGGGGUGCGCCAAGGACUUGAAGCGGAUCGUGCGGCGUCCUCUCCCGGUGCCUCGCCCCCCGUCCAGUGCGUUGGGCGUGGCUUGCCGUGGGGUUUGGACCCGCGUGUCUGGAUCUAUAAGACGACUCUCGGCAACGGAUAUCUCGGCUCUCGCAUCGAUGAAGAACGUAGCGAAAUGCGAUACUUGGUGUGAAUUGCAGAAUCCCGUGAACCAUCGAGUCUUUGAACGCAAGUUGCGCCUGAGGCCACUCGGCCAAGGGCACGCCUGCCUGGGCGUCAUGCCACACCCAUCGCUCCCCUGCGUGCGCCCACUGUGGUCGGCAGGGAAGCGGAGAUUGGCCGCCCGUGCCCCGGUUCGGAGCGCGGUUGGCACAAAAAGCGGGUCACGGUUUGGCACGACACGAUGUGUGGUGGUCGAGAGGCGACUCGUCGCAGCUCGGACGUCGCGCCGGUUGUCACGCCGUGCUUACCCAAUUGUGGGACCCAACACGGAAGUGCGACCCCAGGUCAGGCGGGGCCACCCGCU
rnacentral:rRNA from 1 species